rnacentral:rRNA from 1 species
GACGAACGCUGGCGGCGUGCUUAACACAUGCGAGUCGAACGGAAAGGCCCCUUUGGGGGUACUCGAGUGGCGAACGGGUGAGUAACACGUGAGUAACCUGCCCUUGACUUCGGGAUAACUUCAGGAAACUGGGGCUAAUACCGGAUAGGAAUCCUUGCUGCAUGGUGGGGGUUGGAAAGCUUCGGCGGUUUUGGAUGGACUCGCGGCUUAUCAGCUUGUUGGUGGGGUAGUGGCUUACCAAGGCUUUUACGGGUAGCCGGCCUGAGAGGGCGACCGGCCACAUUGGGACUGAGGUACGGCCCAGACUCCGACGGGAGGCAGCAGUGGGGAAUAUUGCACAAUGGGCGGAAGCCUGAUGCAGCAACGCCGCGUGCGGGAUGACGGCCUUCGGGUUGUAAACCGCAUUCAGCAGGGGCGAAGCUUGUGGUGACGGUACCUGCAGAAGAAGCACCGGCUAACUACGUG